AGCGCAACCCUUGUCUUUAGUUGCCAUCAUUAAGUUGGGCACUCUAGAGAGACUGCCAGGGAUAACCUGGAGGAAGGUGGGGAUGACGUCAAAUCAUCAUGCCCCUUAUGCUUAGGGCUACACACGUGCUACAAUGGGUAGUACAGAGGGUUGCCAAGCCGUAAGGUGGAGCUAAUCCCUUAAAGCUACUCUCAGUUCGGA
rnacentral:rRNA from 1 species